rnacentral:lncRNA from 1 species
UUAACCACUGAGCCACAUCACCAGGCCCUUUUUAAUUUUUUAUUUAGAGACAGGGUCUCACUAAGUUGCUCAGGGCCUCGCUAAGUUCCUGACACUGGCUUUGAACCCUCGAUCCUCUGGCCUCCACCUCCCAAGCCUCUGAUUAUAGGUGUUCACCACCACGCCUGGCCUUUCAUAACUUUUUUUUUUAAUCUUUCACAUUACUUUUUUGGCUUUACAUUUUAUUUUUAUGUAUUCUUUGAAACUGUUCACAUUUAAGAUUUUUUAUGGAUGAAAUAGAAUUGAGCAAAUAUCUUCUAUAAAAUUAUUAUAUAAGCUUACUCAAUUUUCUACUGCAGAUCAACCUCAUAGCACACAGUGAAAUAAAUCCCUAAGGACUGAAUGUAUAGAGCAUGCUGAAAAGUACAAGAAAUAAGCUAAAAAUGAGCAUAUAACCUACAUCUGUUGGUCCAGAUGUGUUUGCAAACAUGUAUCAUGAAGAGGAGUUAAUAAAAAGGGAUAAAGUUAACUUCUGAGAGGGUUAAAUAGAACCCCUAACACAUUAUUUUCUCUAACCAUGUAUCUUAUAUUACAGGACUGGAAAACAAAGUUAAAAGUCUGGCACAGAAAAUUACACACAUUUGUUUAGUUCACAUCAGAAACAGCUUUUGAAAUCAAAAGCUUGGAUAAUAAUUGAAGAGCAGUUUGUUUCAAAAAGGAAACCACUGUUAAGACAUGAGGAGUUAAAUGUGUUCUCAAAACCCGCAUUGGAAACUUUUAGAGGACACAGAUGAUACCAGUUUCAUUUAAACAAACUAAACAGUUAUGAUCACAAGUCUGUGCAGUAAGGCAAAUGUUUCACUAAAUUACCAGAAUGCCUCCAGUUGUUAAAGUUUAAGAAAAGUCAGUGACAGAUUAAGGAGACUAGUGUUCAACUCUGAAAUCAUUCAAAAGAUAAAGGACAGAAAGCCUUUAGCUUGUCUUCCCAAUAUGUGACAAAUUCAAUAAAACUAUAUUGGAACACAGGCUUAGUUUCUAUGCACAUUUUUAGAAAUUGCAUAGAAUCAUGAAACCAUAAGAUCUAAAAUAAUGUAUUUUAAAAGCUAGGUCAUAAUGUACUUUGACACAUAUUCACCAUUCUAAAAUGAGAGACUUUAUGGCAAGAAAUGGCCAGCAUCUCUAAUGAUGCCAUCAUUUCAGACAGGGGACACGUUGCAUUGUACACAUUCAUUUUAUGGGUCCAAAUCUUGUGUACAGAUUGAGGUUACUGUUUACUUAUAAAAAGCAUUUUAUAUUUUAUAUAUAUUUUUUUAUAUUUAUAUUUUAUAUUUAUAUUUUAUAUAUAUAUAUAUAUAUUAUAUAUUGCUGAAAAUUUUUGUGAAAACUUAGCCUUUUGUGAAAUUUCAUUAUGAUGCCUAUAGUGACCUUAUGUCAAACACAAAACAUUAUUAUUCUUGCUUACAUAUUUCAAGCAAUGUUUGAUGCUUGAAAUACCAAAAUGAUUAUUUAAAAAAAUAAAAAGAAUUUGUAUGGCUCUUUAGAGUUUGUUGUAUAAAGAUCUGUCUUUAAUUAUGAG